rnacentral:piRNA from 1 species
GUCUAGCAAUUUUUAAAAGAGUAAUUAAGA